UACGGGAGGCAGCAGUGGGGAAUAUUGGACAAUGGGCGCAAGCCUGAUCCAGCCAUGCCGCGUGUGUGAAGAAGGCCUUCGGGUUGUAAAGCACUUUUGUCCGGAAAGAAAAGCUUAGGGUUAAUAACCUUGAGUCAUGACGGUACCGGAAGAAUAAGCACCGGCUAACUUCGUGCCAGCAGCCGCGGUAAUACGAAGGGUGCAAGCGUUACUCGGAAUUACUGGGCGUAAAGCGUGCGUAGGUGGUUUGUUAAGUCUGAUGUGAAAGCCCUGGGCUCAACCUGGGAAUGGCAUUGGAAACUGGCUUACUAGAGUGCGGUAGAGGGGUGUGGAAUUCCCGGUGUAGCAGUGAAAUGCGUAGAUAUCGGGAGGACAUCUGUGGCGAAGGCGACACCCUGGGACCAGCACUGACACUGAGGCACGAAAGCGUGGGGAGCAAACAGGGAUUAGAUACC
rnacentral:rRNA from 1 species